rnacentral:rRNA from 1 species
ACGCUCGACACUACAGGCAGCAGUGAGGAAUAUUGGUCAAUGGGCGCUAGCCUGAACCAGCCAAGUAGCGUGAAGGAUGAAGGCUCUAUGGGUCGUAAACUUCUUUUAUAUAAGAAUAAAGUGCAGUAUGUAUACUGUUUUGUAUGUAUUAUAUGAAUAAGGAUCGGCUAACUCCGUGCCAACAGCCGCGGUAAUCUGAGCGGGCUGGCAAGGC